rnacentral:rRNA from 1 species
AUACGGAGGGUGCAAGCGUUACUCGGAAUCACUGGGCGUAAAGCGCGCGCAGGCGGCUUGAUAAGUUGGAUGUGAAAGCCUACGGCUCAACCGUAGAACUGCAUCCAAAACUGUCAAGCUAGAGUGUGGGAGAGGAAGAUGGAAUUAGUUGUGUAGGGGUAAAAUCCGUAGAGAUAACUAGGAAUACCAAAAGCGAAGGCAAUCUUCUGGAACACUACUGACGCUGAGGCGCGAAAGCGUGGGGAGCAAACGGGAUUAGAUACCCCAGUAGUCC